rnacentral:rRNA from 1 species
GGACUACCCGGGUAUCUAAUCCUGUUUGAUCCCCACGCUUUCGUGCCUCAGCGUCAAUCAUUGCUUAGUUAGCUGCCUUCGCAAUCGGUGUUCUAUGUCAUCUCUAUGCAUUUCACCGCUACAUGACAUAUUCCGCCAACCUCAACAAUAUUCAAGAUCAAUAGUAUCAAUGGCAGUUUCCAAGUUAAGCUCGGAGAUUUCACCACUGACUUAAUGACCCGCCUACACACCCUUUAAACCCAGUGAAUCCGGAUAACGCUUGCACCCUCCGUAUUACCGCGGCUGCUGGCAC